AAAUUGUUGAAAGGGAAGCGCUUGCGACCAGACUCGCCUCCAGGGUUCAGCCGGCAUUCGUGCCGGUGUACUUCCCUGGGGGCGGGCCAGCGUCGGUUUGGGCGGCCGGUCAAAGGCUCCCGGAAUGUAGUGCCCUCCGGGGCACCUUAUAGCCGGGAGUGCAAUGCGGCCAGCCUGACCGAGGAACGCGCUUCGGCACGGACG
rnacentral:rRNA from 1 species